GCCGGGCAAAGUCACUGGGGGCGCGCGGCUCCCGAGCAAUUUGCCCUUGGGACGCCGCGGUCCCCGUGCCGCCGGAAUUUCGGUGCACGUUGGGAACGGAGCUUGGAGAAGGCGGCCGAGAGGGACGUGGCUGAAGGGGAACACUGUAACCCUCCAGCACUGUGCAGGCCCAGAUGAGCACACACCGCGUUCACCUGCAUCCCUGCAUCCCUCAUAAGCAAGCAGCAUGUUCCUGAGUAAACCAGAGAAGCUACAACAAAAAGAAAUGCUUAAGCACAAAACAAAUUGCAGAAGAAAUAUGUAUCCUUUGUCUCCAUGUAAAUAUCUUUAAAUAAUUAAGACCACAAGAAAACACAGCUAUAGCUACAUGAUGUCCUUGCCCAUUAUGAUGUUAACGAGCACACUGCUGUGGCUACGAGCUGUUUGCUGGUUUGGAGAAUGCUGAAGAGGAAGUAAUUUGCUACCUACUGAGGGACUGGUGCCUCACCCUCUGUGUGAAGUGUCUAUUCUCUUCCGUUUCUCAGAUCCCUAUCUCUAGAGCAAGAUACUGAGCCAUCAGGGCAAGAUGCUGAGCUAUCAACAUGACAUGGAUCUGAGGAAGAGAGGAAGAAAACAUUGCCCAGGCCUGGAGGAGAGAAAAAAGGGUUGGUCUGCAUUACUGUUCAGUCUUCCUUGUUGUUUUCCCAGCUUCUGUUCUUUUCUCUCUUGAGGAAGGCAUAUAGCCCAAGGCAAAUGAGACAGAGCAACCACUUGUAUUUGGACUUCUCUCAAGACUGACUGCAUGUUAUACCUGCUGUUCUGCCUGAAGAUGCCCCAAGCCCACUAUCAAAUUUCCAAAUGAAUCAUCCAUCAUCUUAACUCAUGGCAAUAAUCCUGCUCUCAGAGGGGAUUUCCUGGUGCGGAAAAGGUUUAUAUUUAACAACAGGGAUAUGGUUCCUUACAUGUCACUUAACUGUUGGGCUGUGCCUUAGCUUGUUCCUGGUCCUUCUGGUGAGCGGAGAUGUCUCAACUUAGAUGCUAGCAUACAGCCUUUGUGUGGUUACAGCUGCCAACAUCACAUACCUGUGAGAUUCUCCUGGUCAGUGAGAAGCUGUGCCUUCAGGACUUCUCUCUUCUCUGGAGAAAGGCAUGCACAAAAGGCUGUAGUCACUGCAAGGCACAGACAGAAGAACUGUUUUUCCAAGGGCAGGCACAGAAACCAAACUUGUGCCACACUCUGGUAAAGGACCUCCUUUCCGUGGCCUACAGUAUGACAAAGUCACAAAGGUGCAAUAGUUGGGUCCCUGGGAGAGUUUGCAUGACUGACUUUGAGAAUUAUGAUAAAUUUGAUGGAAAUCUUUUUUUGUGUGUGGAUGGAGGAAAUACCUGUCCAUAAGUAAUACAACUACUACAAAUGCAGUUUUCUAUGUUUUGUCUGUAUUACAAAGGGCCCUCCUCAUUUCUUAGAAUAUAAUGGCAAGACAUGUUUAUCUGAUACAGCAAUCUCAACAGAAACAUCUACUUCUGGGCACUUUCUCGAAUUAAAAUUGUCCUAGAAGGAAUAACCUGUAA